rnacentral:rRNA from 1 species
GACGAACGCUGGCGGCGUGCUUAACACAUGCAAGUCGAACGAAGAGCGAUGGAAGCUUGCUUCUAUCAAUCUUAGUGGCGAACGGGUGAGUAACGCGUAAUCAACCUGCCCUUCAGGGGGGGACAACAGUUGGAAACGACUGCUAAUACCGCAUACGAUCUAAUCUCGGCAUCGAGGAUAGAUGAAAGGUGGCCUCUACAUGUAAGCUAUCACUGAAGGAGGGGAUUGCGUCUGAUUAGCUAGUUGGAGGGGUAACGGCCCACCAAGGCGAUGAUCAGUAGCCGGUCUGAGAGGAUGAACGGCCACAUUGGGACUGAGACACGACCCAGACUCCUACGGGAGGCAGCAGUGGGGAAUCUUCCGCAAUGGACGAAAGUCUGACGGAGCAACGCCGCGUGAGUGAUGACGGCCUUCGGGUUGUAAAGCUCUGUUAAUCGGGACGAAAGGCCUUCUUGCGA